rnacentral:misc_RNA from 1 species
GAAAUGCGAUAAGUAAUGUGAAUUGCAGAAUUCAGUGAAUCAUCGAAUCUUUGAACGCACAUUGCGCCCCCUGGUAUUCCGGGGGGCAUGCCUGUUCGAGCGUCAUUUCACCACUCAAGCCUCGCUUGGUAUUGGGCGACGCGGUCCGCCGCGCGCCUCAAAUCGACCGGCUGGGUCUUUCGUCCCCUCAGCGUUGUGGAAACUAUUCGCUAAAGGGUGCCGCGGGAGGACACGCCGUAAAACAACCCCAUUUCUAAGGUUGACCUCGGAUCAGGUAGGGAUACCCGCUGAACUUAAGC